AAAAUUAUUUAAAAAAAAAAAAAGGCCAGAACAGCUCUCAGCCUUAAAAAAUCUUAAAAAAAAAAAAAUGGACAUUUUGAUUUUAAUAAGUCUUGUAGAGGAAGAUUGAAAGAGAGAAGAAGGCAGAAAGCGCAGAGGAAUUUGGUACAUGCGAGAUACGAAGGACGGAGAACGAAACGCGAGUUUCUCUUCAACUUCUCCGUUUCGAUUUCUCAGCUGAUUACUUCUUUUUCUUUCUUUUUCUAGUUUUAGUUCCUUUUUUGGCGAACAUAUAUAAUAUAUAUUUGUUUCCUGACAAUGUCUGACGAGACGGCGUCGUCUUCUGGAAUCGUCUUGGAAGGAAUUGCUGACGUGGAAGACUACGUCUGGGCAAAUGAAGGAGCGGGAUCAUUGCCAUGGGACCCAUAUAGUCUUGUUUAUGAUCAUAUGGAGAAAGGAAACCGAGCAUUCCGAGAGAAUCAUUUUGAGGAGGCAAUCAACAAUUACUCAAGGGCCAAUAACAUGAAACCUGGUGAUCCUGUUAUUCUUGGUAACAGAAGUGCUGCCUACAUGAGGAUUAGUCAAUUUCUGAAACGUAGAUCUCCAACAGCUUCUGAAUAUAGGCCAUUGAAUGGACUGGACAUGACAACACUUGCUGGACUUGCUCUUAAGGAUGCGGAGAGGCUAAUGAGCUUGCAGAAUAAUGCAGCAAGAUCCUACAUCUUAAAGGCCAAUGCUCUCAUCUUGUUGGAAAGAUAUGAGAUGGCACGGGAUAUUAUUCUUUCUGGUCUUCAACUUGAUCCCUUCAGUGACAUUCUCCGGGCCUCUCUUCAGAGUUUGGAGAGAAUGCCGUCCAGUUUGAUGCGGACUAGAGGCCAUGAGGUGCUGGAACAUACUGAUGACUUUGAUUGCACUCUUUGUCUGAAGUUUCUAUAUGAACCUGUAACAACACCUUGUGGGCAUUCCUUUUGUCGGUCAUGUUUAUUUCAGACAAUGGAUCGUAGCAAUAAAUGUCCAUUGUGCCGAACAGUGCUCUUCAUUGGUCCUAGAACAUGUGCAGUAAGUGUAACACUAAACAACAUCAUACAAAAAAACUUCCCAGAAGAAUAUGCUGAAAGGAAGUCAGAGCAUGACAGGCUGAUCAAUUUUGGUAAUGAUCUGAUACCUCUUUUCGUCAUGGAUGUUGUCAUCCCUUGCCAGAAGUUUCCACUCCACAUAUUUGAACCCCGGUACAGACUUAUGGUGAGGAGAAUAAUGGAAGGGAAUCACAGGAUGGGAAUGGUCGUCAAUGAUCCUGCUACAGAUUCCAUUGCUGAUUUUGCUUGUGAAGUGGAGAUCACUGAAUGUGAGCCACUUGCUGAUGGACGCUUUGCUCUAGAGAUUGAAAGUCGCCGGAGAUUUCGCAUCAUCAGAUCUUGGGACCAAGAUGGAUAUCGAAUGGCAGAGGUUGAGUGGGUACAAGACAUACCACCAACGGAUGCGAGAGAUAGAGAAGAUUUGCAGGAGAUGACAAAUAAUGCAGCAGGAUAUGCUCGGUCAUGGUUAAAUACUGCAAAAGAAUCAACACGAGAUCGAAGAAGGCUCGAGAUACUCUGUAAUAUUGAAGUAAUGAUGCCCAACCCACAAGAUCCGGAGCACUUCAGUUUCUGGCUAGCUACUCUGUCAAAUCGGAGGCCUUCAGAAAGAUUGGAACUCCUCCGAAUCAGAGACACAGGAGAGAGAAUAAGACGGGGACUAAUAUACCUCACAGCAGAAGCACAUGGACAUGCAAAGGAAUCUAAACCUGUGGAGAAUGUCACACUAAAACCAUGGCAGCUGCUGUGCCUAUUCUGAGGUAAAAGAGAAUGAAAGGGUUGAAUGGGUGAGCAUUGAAUGCUGCUCAAAUAAAGAAACGCACACGACGGUCUUCUUCUUUCCUCAUUCAUCAAAAAAAAUGAAGAUAACUCGUUAACAGGGAUUACAGCUUUACACGUCAGUUCCUACAUGCUUCCAGCAAACUACCCUUUGGCCUAACUGUCUUC